ACGGCUCAGUAACACGUGGCUAACCUGCCCUCAGGAUAGGGACAACCCCGGGAAACUGGGGCUAAUCCCCAAUAGGUGAAGUGCUCUGGAAUGAGCCUUCGCCAGAAAGGACGCUUGCGCUAUGCUCGCAGGCUUUGCCUGAGGAUGGGGCCGCGACCGAUCAGGUUGUUGGUGAGGUAAUGGCUCACCAAGCCUUUAACCGGUGCGGGCCGUGAGAGCGGGAGUCCGGAGAUGGGCACUGAGACAAAGGCCCAGGCCCUACGGGGCGCAGCAGUCGCGCAAACUUUGCAAUACACGGAAGUGUGACAGGGCUAUCCCGAGUGCCGUCCGCUGAGGAUGGCUUUUACCUAGUCUAGAACGCUGGGGGAAUAAGGAGAGGGCAAGUCUGGUGUCAGCCGCCGCGGUAAUACCAGCUCUCCGAGUGGUGUGGAUGUUUAUUGGGCCUAAAGCAUCCGUAGCUGGCCAAGUUAGUCCCCUGUUAAACCCACCGAAUUAAUCGUUGGUUUGCGGGGGAUACUGCUCGGCUAGGGGACGAGAGAGGCAGACGGUAUUUUCGGGGUAGGGGUGAAAUGCUAUAAUCCCGGGAAGACCACCAGUGGCGAAGGCUGUCUGCUAGAACGCGCCCGACGGUGAGGGAUGAAAGCUGGGGGAGCGAACCGGAUUAGAUACCCGGGUAGUCCCAGCUGUAAACGAUGCAGGCUAGGUGUUUGGACGGCCACGUGCCGUUCUAGUGCCGCAGGGAAGCUGUUAAGCCUGCCGCCUGGGGAGUACGGUCGCAAGAUUGAAACUUAAAGGAAUUGGCGGGGGAGCAC
rnacentral:rRNA from 1 species